GAUGAACGCUGGCGGCGUGCCUAAUACAUGCAAGUCGAGCGAACGGACGAGAAGCUUGCUUCUCUGAUGUUAGCGGCGGACGGGUGAGUAACACGUGGAUAACCUACCUAUAAGACUGGGAUAACUUCGGGAAACCGUAGCUAAUACCGGAUAAUAUUUUGAACCGCAUGGUUCAAAAGUGAAAGACGGUCUUGCUGUCACUUAUAGAUGGAUCCGCGCUGCAUUAGCUAGUUGGUAAGGUAACGGCUUACCAAGGCAACGAUGCAUAGCCGACCUGAGAGGGUAGCCGGCCACAGAGAAACGAGGACACGGGCCGGACUCCGAGGGGGGGCAGAAGUAGGGAAUAUUCCGAAAUGGGGGAAAGCCUAACGGGGAAACGCCGCGGGGGGAAGGAAGUUUUGGGGAUCGAAAAACUCUGUUAUUGGGGAAAAAAAUAUGUGUAAGAAACUGGGCACAUUUUGGGGGCACAAAAAAAAAAAGCCCGGGAAAACUACG
rnacentral:rRNA from 1 species